UUACGAGGUCAGGACACUGUGAGGAUCGACAGAUUGAAAGCUCUUUCUUGAUUCAGUGGGUGGUGGUGCAUGGCCGUUCUUAGUUGGUGGAGUGAUUUGUCUGGUUAAUUCCGUUAACGAACGAGACCUUAACCUGCUAAAUAGUCACGCGAACCGGUCCGCAAGGGCUCAAAGUUCGCGGCUCGACUUCUUAGAGGGACUAUUCGCACCCGCCAGCGAAUGGAAGUUUGAGGCAAUAACAGGUCUGUGAUGCCCUUAGAUGUUCUCGGCCGCACGCGCGUUACACUGACGGAGUCAACGAGCGUUUUUCCUUGCCCGACAGGGCCGGGUAACCUCCUGAGACUCCGUCGUGAUGGGGAUAGAUCAUUGCAAUUAUUGAUCUUGAACGAGGAAUCCCUAGUAAGCGCGAGUCAUCAACUCGCGCUGAUUACGUCCCUGCCCUUUGUACACACCGCCCGUCGCUCCUACCGAUUGAACGGUCCGGCGAGAACUCCGGAUGGUC
rnacentral:rRNA from 1 species